AUUGAACGCUGGCGGCAGGCUUAACACAUGCAAGUCGAGCGGAGCGAGGGUGCUUGCACCUUAGCUUAGCGGCGGACGGGUGAGUAAUGCUUAGGAAUCUGCCUAUUAGUGGGGGACAACAUUCCGAAAGGGAUGCUAAUACCGCAUACGCCCUACGGGGGAAAGCAGGGGAUCUUCGGACCUUGCGCUAAUAGAUGAGCCUAGGUCGGAUUAGCUAGUUGGGGGGGUAAAGGCCUACCAAGGCGACGAUCUGUAGCGGGUCGGAGAGGAUGAUCCGCCACACUGGGACUGGGGCACGGCCCGGACUCCUACGGGGGGCAGCAGUGGGGAAUAUUGGACAAUGGGCGGAAGCCUGAUCCAGCCAUGCCGCGUGUGUGAAGAAGGCCUUUUGGUUGUAAAGCACUUUAAGCGAGGAGGAGGCUACUAGUAUUAAUACUACUGGGUAGUGGACGUUACUCGCAGAAUAAGCACCGGCUAACUCUGUGCCAGCCGCCGCAGUAA
rnacentral:rRNA from 1 species